ACGGGUGAGUAACGCGUGGGAAUCUACCCAUCUCUACGGAAUAACGCAUGGAAACGUGUGCUAAUACCGUAUACGUCCUUCGGGAGAAAGAUUUAUCGGAGAUGGAUGAGCCCGCGUCGGAUUAGCUAGUUGGUGGGGUAAAGGCCUACCAAGGCGACGAUCCAUAGCUGGUCUGAGAGGAUGAUCAGCCACACUGGGACUGAGACACGGCCCAGACUCCUACGGGAGGCAGCAGUGGGGAAUAUUGGACAAUGGGCGCAAGCCUGAUCCAGCCAUGCCGCGUGAGUGAUGAAGGCCCUAGGGUUGUAAAGCUCUUUCACCGGUGAAGAUAAUGACGGUAACCGGAGAAGAAGCCCCGGCUAACUUCGUGCCAGCAGCCGCGGUAAUACGAAGGGGGCUAGCGUUGUUCGGAUUUACUGGGCGUAAAGCGCACGUAGGCGGACUAUUAAGUCAGGGGUGAAAUCCCGGGGCUCAACCCCGGAACUGCCUUUGAUACUGGUAGUCUUGAGUUCGAGAGAGGUGAGUGGAAUUCCGAGUGUAGAGGUGAAAUUCGUAGA
rnacentral:rRNA from 1 species